AAUAGUGACAAUUGUGUAAAUACCAUGAACAUUUGAAGGACGGUUUUCGUGAAAACCGCCUUUGAAUGUAGAUAAUUAUAAUUUUCCCCCUCGCGUUCCCUCAUCUCUCCUCAUUCGCUAUUUUCUCCUCGUUCCUCCCCUCGUCUCUCCUAAUUCUGCUUCUCUCAUCGUUCCGCCCCCAUUCCCCUCUCCUCCAGAGGAAUAAAAAAAAACCCUAACCCCUCAAAACCCAAACCCUCCACCGCCUGGGCUCCUCUGUGGUCGCCAUUGACGCCGACGUCGGCUUCCGCAACUUCGACCUUCUCCUCAACUUGAGAACCGUGUCAACUACACCGUCAUCGAGGUUCUCAAAAUCGAGGCCCAAAAUCCCAGCCAUGUCGACAAACAUGCCUUGGUUCAAGUUCCUGUAGUCGAUGGCGGUGUUUCGAAUCACGGUUUUUCCCAGUGUGAUUGUUUCGAGAGUGAGACAGCCUCUAGUGUAGGAGUCGUUGCUUUAGGAGAUCUGGUAACGGCAGCGACGCUGGUGGCAGUCGACGUCGUCGAGCUACUCAUAGAUGGUGGAGGAGAGGACCCAGUUUGAAACACCAAAGCAUUGAGAACCCCCGUAUUCUGUUCAUUCUUGAACCUCUUUCAAUCCUCGCAAGGUCACACUAUGCCAUAUUUUAGCGGAACAACAAUGAUAAUGUCGAUGUUAAGGUUAAGGUAUGCUCUUUCCAUUCCUAGGUUUCCCUGUUUUCUUGUUUGUUGUCACCCCGCCAUAACCCUACACUCUUGGCCUCUACUCUUUCACAAUCCUAAUGAUGUCAUUGUCUCAUUCAAUCGCAUGCUUCGUGAGUGUCCUACACCACCCAUCUUUCAAUUUAAUAAGAUUUUAGGAUCCCUUGUGAAGAACAAACACUAUACACCGUUAUUUCCCUUUCUAAGAAAUUGCAAUUCCCUGGCAUUGUUUCCUUUAACAUCGUCAUCAAUUGUUUUUGUCACCUCCGUCAAAUCAACUUGGCUUUUUUUGUAUUAGCCGACAUUCUCAAAAUUGGUUAUCACCCCAACACCAUAACCUUCAACACAUCCUUAGUGGUGAGAUUAAGAAAGCAUUGCACUUUCAUGACAAAGUGGCAGCUCAAGGAUUUAAGCUAGACCAAGUUAGUUAUGGGACUUUGAUCAAUGGAUUGUAUAAAAUAGGACAAACAAGAGUUGAGAAGGAUUGAAGGGCGGUUGAUCAAGCCCGAUGAGGAAGUGAUUGCUUUGUUUAAUAAAAUGAAAUGGAAAGGCAUCAACCCAUAUGUCUGUACUUUUAAUAGACUGGUUGAUGCAUUUGGUAAGGAAGGAAAGAUGAAAGAAGUUAGAAACGUGUUAUUUAAAGCAGCUAGAGCCAUACACCAUGCCUCACAGGGGAGUGAGUCCCAAUGUAAAUGUCUCGCACAACUAUUGUCCCAGAUAUGGUGAAAUGAUUUCUAGAGGCUUAUCAUAAGAGUUAAACUAGGUGAGAUAUGUUCUAGUUUCACAUUAAUUUGUUUUGAAAUUUGAUGAUGACAAGCUGAUAUUUUUUCUUUUGAUAGUUGAACAUAAAAAAAGAUGGACUAUGUUAUUGGCUCAUUGCCAUAAUAUUGGUGGGCUGUUAAGAAUUGAUAUAAUUAUCCUUUUUCUUCCCAUUUUACCAUUGAUAUGUUUCAUCUAUUUUUUAUGAUUUUCCAGUCACUGCUUACUGUUUGUGUUUCAUAUCACACAUCAUAUUGAAACUAACAUAAUUAUUUGGGAUUCUUUAUCUCUUAUAGUUGAUUAUGUUUACCCCAUGGUAUUGAGUGUAGAUCUGCUUGGUUUGAUUUUCCUGCGUAUUUUCUUGGCUUUUACACAAAUGGACAAGUUGAAAACAAAUAAAGUUGCUAAUACUUUCCUGGUGAGUCAUUGUGGCAUAAUUAGUUGGAGCUUUUUGAAGGACUAUGAUUUAUUUUGGUGGUAAUUUUUAAGGAAUGCAUAUUCCAGUCAAGAAAAGAGAUAUGAGGAAUGAGAUUCUUUAGAAGGCUCACAUUGAUUGUAUGACUCUUUUCACUAACCUCUUUUCUAUGGUAUUUUCAAAUCUAUUUUGGGGUUGACUUGUUAAUAGUCAAAGCUUGUGGUAUCUUUAUCAGUGUUAGGAAAAUUAUUAAGAAGCAGUUUUUCAUACGACUUUAUUUUGAUCAAAGAGUUUGAGAAGUUAUUGAAACCAUAAAAGGAAAAUAUGGUGGGAUGCAAGAAAUAUUUGCUAUUAGGUUUCUGGUAGAUAAUGGUUUCUUACCUAUAUUUUUUCAUCUGCAUAUAUUUCUUUCUGCCUUCUAAUGUUACCAAAAUAGCAAACUGAUUGGGCCAUUUCAGCUAUUUGUUUUAGAAGCCAACAAAAUGCAAUAGUUAAUCAAUUUUCUGCAAUUAAGAAGGCAUCAAUAAAUAAGUAAAAAGAAAGGACAAUUUGUUAUCACAUCUCCUUUCUUUUAUUGAGUAUUUUGUUGGAAUCCGCAACAGAGGAUGCAGAGGACAAUUUCCUAGCUUGUCUUCCCACUGAUAUUCUUGUUCUCUCACUUCAUUGGUAAAGCCACAUUAUGUACCUUUUCCUCUAAUAAUUUACUUAAAAAAUAAUCUAAAAGGAUGCAUGUGAUCAAUCUGUUUUUAUUAUUUAAUCUUUGCCUAUAUUUCUAUGGAAAGUGAUAGACAAAUAAUGCAUUUAGUACAUGCUUAAUUUCAGGGAGUACAUGGAUCUUUGUUUGCAGGUGAUCGUUAAAUUAAAACAAUUGUCUCUUGUAUCUCUUCUAAUUUAGGUGAUCAUUAAAUUAAGUCUUUUCACAAAAGCUGUUUGCUGGUAAAUAUGCCAAUCACUAAUUAUUAGUUAAGAGUUUUCUUAGAUGAAAAUAUUUUUUUUAUGGAAAGAUGAAAAUAAAUUAAAAACAAUGAUUACUAAUUUUUUAAUAAUGCAGAUGGGAUAUUACAACAAUUGACCAGCUACCAAAUUACAUGAAGGCAUGCUUUAGAGUCCUCUAUAAUCUCACAAAUGAAAUAUUCCCAAAUUUAUUGAAGUUCGUUGCAUGAAGCUUGAUCAAGUAGUACAAUUUUUGCUCAACAUAAAUUCUAUGAAAUAUUUCUGCUGCCAUUUUUUUUUACUUCUUUGUUUCAAUUUUUAGAUUGGACAUGUGACCAAAUCUGGAGAAAUAGUAGGACCUCGUGUCUUGGAGCAUAUCAUUGACGUUGUUUUGUAUUUGGAAGUUGGUACCUUGUUACACUCUUAUUUCUUUGGUUAGUUGUUAAUUGAUAAAGUUGAUUUGUGUCCAUCAUUAGAGAAUGUUACUGCAUAAGUUGGUACCUUAAUAAGAAUAAUUGCUAAUUACUUUUUACAAUAUUACAUUUCAACAAAAUGUGUUGUUUUAUUUGUAACUUUUUUUUUCUGCAUAUUACAUGGAGUUGGGCUGUUGAAAUCACUGGAUUUCAUUUCAAUUUUCUCCAUGCUAAUUGCUCAUAUUAAUGCUCAGGGCGAGAAGUUUUCUCCAUAUCGAAUGCUUCGAGCUUUAAAAAAAUCAGUUUGGAUCCACCGAUGAGGUAUGCUAUGACUAUUGCAUAUUACAUUUAAGAUCUAUGUUUUCUUAGGUUGUAACUAUUUUGUUUCUACUUUUGCCAAUACUCUUAUAUAAAUAUCACGAACGAUGUGUACUACUAGCAUUGAUUUCUUGCUCAUUUCUUUCAGUACAUGUCAUUGAUUUCUUUCUUGUUUCUUUUGGUCUAUCUCUGUUAUGGUUAGUAUCUUUCUGUGAUGUUUAAUUUUGAUAGUGUGUAUAUAGCAGCAGCAAGCAGGCCCAAAAUAUUUAAGGGGUCCGAAUGCGGGCUCGGGGAAAGUGGGUAUCCGAAAUACGCGAGCAAAGAAGAACCGGAUCUGGCUCGUAUAUAUGAAAAAAUGAAUAUGCCAAAGUGCCUUCUUGAGUUAAAAUAUUGAAAUCGGAUCUGGCUCGCCUUUUUAUGCAUACAUUUUUUU